UCUUCUUUAUAUCCUAUCAAAAAAAAAAAAAACACUCUUCUUUAUAUAUCAAACACGCCUGUUUUACAGGUUCACCUCCCCUUCUGCCAAAGCCAACAACGACAACAACACCGAUCUCUUCACCUCCUUGAUCUCAGACAUCAAAUCCUACUCUGGCAACGACCCUCUUCUCGCAUGGCUCCAAUAUGUCUCUCUCUUUCUUUGUGGGUAGCUCUUUUAAUGGUUUUAAAAAGUAAGAUUGUUUGGCAUUUUGUAUAUACAGAGGGAUCAGAAAGAUGAAGGAUUCGCUGCCUUCGCAAGUACUGAACGAGAAGCUGCCACGGUUUUUGCAGAAGUGCGCGCAGACCUUCGAUUCCGAUCGCCGUUACAAAAACGACUUACGAUACCUCCGCGUUUGGUUACUGUUGAGAUGAGGUGGGUUCUUUUUAAAAUCCUUGAUAGCUCUUUCUCUCGCUGUCAAUGGCAGACAAGAAAUUAGGGUUCUUCACUAUAAAAGAAGAGGAUUAUGGAGGCAUAAAGAGAGGGGAGGCACGUACUACUACAGAAAGAAGGAGCACCAAAGAGUAAGACCUUUCUUUUAUUCUGCACUUUUAUUUAGUUGCUUUUCUGAAAUUUAAUAAUUUGUUAAGAUAAAGAGAGGCUGGAACCACUACCGGUGAGUUUUUAUCUUCAAUUUAAAUUUGUUUAUUAAUUGUGAUUAGGUUUUGAUAUUCACAACCAACCCAAUAUCAGAUCGCUGGAACUGCUACAAGUAAAAUCGUUUAUGUUAAUUUUGUGCGUUUAAUUGGAUUUAGGUUUUGCUAUUUUGGUUGGUUGGUUUUGAUUUAAGAAAUUGGUUUAGAUUUUGUAUAGUCAAAACCUAAUAUAGAUUCCUUUCAAUAUAUAACCCUCUAUAUAUUCCCAUCAGUGGUCAUAGAAGAGUGACCACUCUCUAACAAACUGAUUUUAUUUUGGUUUAUUUGGAAAUAUCUCAUGUCUCAUUCUUUUAAUGUGUUGUGGCUUAUAAGAGAAGAGCCAGUAAUGAGGAGAAGUUUGUUGAUUCUAUGUAGAAGAAAGCUAAGGAGGAAAAAGGUUGAAUUUGCAUCAAAGAGAUUCUUGGUAUUCUUUCGUGGACUUACAGAUUGAUUAAUUUUGAUAGCAACCAGAUUCCAAGAUCCUUCAAAGGCAAUGAUUUUUUAAGAUAUAAUAUUUGGUUCCGGUAAAUUAGCCUGUUUUCUAUUGAAACUAACAGAAUUUGUAUUGCUCUAUUUAUUUAUUUGGUUGGUUGAGAAAUUCUGUUGAUGGGUUUUGUUGGUGAGAAUUUCUACGCUGAAUCUAAAAUUUAAUACUAAAUAUUAAAUUUGAUGUUCACUUCUUACUUUUUUUUUUUCUUGUCCUAAUUUCGCUGUCUCAUUGACAGGCUUCAAGCGUAGGAAUGGUGCACACAAUCUUUCAUUAAUAACUAUGCAAGUUUGUAUUAAUUUCAUUUGAUUUUUUUAUUUUUUAUUAUUUUUAUGAUAGUUAGAUAUCUAUUUGCUUUAUUUCAGAUUACGUUUGAUAUCUAUUUGCUUAUGAAUGAUAUCAGAUCUGACCCUCACUUAAACAAAGCAUAAGGUAUCACAUUCACAAAACUUAACGUAAGGUAUCCUAUGCUUUCUUGCUUUCUGAGAAAAUUUCAUUUCCAUUCCAUGUGUUUGUCUCAGGUUUUUGUUUUGUGUGUCUUUGGGUUAAUAAGGCAACAAGACUAAAGUUUUUAAGGCUGUCUGAGACUGUCAACAACAUCACAUAAUGGUAGCUUAAAUUCUUCUUUCAUUGCUGAUUUUUUUCAUUUGCUUUGAUUUGUAAAUAAGGACUGUGUUUUUGGAGAAGUGAAUAAUGACUCUAAGUUCAUUACAUUUCAUACUGAUUGUACUGUCGAUUGCCUGAAUGGAAGUAUAUAAAUUUAUUGGUUGAAGAGCAAUUUCUUCAAAAUUGGUUGGCACCGAUAAGCAAGAGUUCAAUGCAGAUGUUGGUCAUUUUGGAGUAGGAAUUUGUCAUGAUAUAUGCUUCUCUAAAGUUGCUACAUUCCUGUCAAGGUAAGCAAAAUACUAAAAUUUUGAACUGUUGUAGAGAUUAUAAACAAAAGAGACAUGCCAAAUCUGCCUUCAAUUAAAACGUCAGGUUUUUAGGAGUUAUCUUGCAACUAUACAAAGUAUUUUCAACCUUUCAUUAUGUUAUCCCACUUGGAAGACCAUUUUUUAGUUAUUAUUACAUGCGUUUUGUGAAAUUUCAUUAGACAUGUGAUAUGUAAUAUUUAGUCUCGAUUCCCACUUUAUCUCAUCCUAUUAUAGAUUUGCAUCUCCUCUAUAGGACUCAAAUAUCACAUUGGAUUCUUGCUUAUCACAAGUGUAGACUAUGUUGGUAAGGUGUGGAUUUUGAGAUUAAGUUGCUCACAAUUGGUGGGAGAAGAUUGAAGCUUACAAUUUGGGACAUAGGCAACUGCUGGAAUUAUUUUGAAUUAUAGUUUCAUUUUAAUCUUUGAUUAAUGAUGCUUUUGGAAGUGAUAGUUUAUGCUAACAUGUAAUCUUUCUCUUCUUUCAAGUUAGUCAUUGCUUUUGGUGCAUAAAUAGAUUGUAGAGCUAUUAACAAUAGAUGAAAGAUAUGUAUAAAUGAUUUUUAGUUAGGUGAACUUUUGGAUUUUAAUAGAAACAUUUAACCUUCGGAUGUUGAAAAAACAAGAAGGUAAAAUGUUCUGUAAAUUUUAAUUUUGUGAAACUGAUCAAUGGCAAUUUGAAGUGUUAGAAGAGACAACAA